UUAUUGAAAAAAUUAUUGCUAUUGGUGAUAUCGUAACAGUAAACACCAGGAAUGGUCCAAGGCUAAAAAGGAACAUUCAUAUCACUGAUGGCAGCCACCAAGUAGCAAUCACUCUCUGCCAAGAGCAAGCUGAGUCCUUUGAUGGCGAACAACUGCAUGAAACAUCAACUACCGCAGCAAUUUAUGUGCUCUUCGUUGGUAUGACUGUUGGGACUUUUUCAGGAACUAUUGCCCUCCAAGGAAUCUCAGCCACAAAAUGGUAUAUCAAUAUACCAAUUCCGGAAAUCGCAGCACUACGAACCAGCCUAGCAAAUCAUCCUCACCAAAUUGAAUGGCUUCAAGGAACUGCUGCUCCACAAAACCCUUUGGCUACAACAGUCCAUGAUCUCACCGAGCUUAUUCCAAAUGAUGCUCUGGUAUCACAAGCAUUGUUUACUAUCUUUCACUCUCUUUUUCUAUUCAGCCCUAUUCUACUUCAUCAAUAAUAUCGAUAUUCCAGGGUCAGACCUAUACUGUGACCACCCUUCUCAAAGAUCUGGUUCCUGGAGAGGCCUGGUGGUAUAUGUCGUGCGGAGCUUGCUGGAAAAAAAACUGAACCCAAUGCUGAUUCUUACUAAUGUCCCAGGUGUUCCAGCAAAGAGACCGAGCCACGGUAUGUACCAUUUCCACAAUACUUUGCGUACCUUCACCAUACAAAAUCACUCCUAUUAUUUUCUACUUACAUACAUCCCUCUACGAUUUAUGUUGCAGGUACAGAAUUACAUACUUUGGCACCGACCCAUCUACAGCCCAAGAAUCUAAUUCACAACUUGCACGGUUUAUAUUCUUUGGCAAAAUAGGGCACCAACUAAUUGGGAAACCUCCCACAGUCCUAAUUGCAACAGGAAAAGGGGACCCGGCUUAUGUCCCCCCGGAGAUAACAAACCAUAUUGGCAAAACUUAUACCAUGACUGUGCAAAUGACAACAGGCUCCCUCCAAAGCAUCCACCCAACAUUUCAGGUCCAGGCCCUUGCUGUUUAUGCAAACUUAUCAGGGAGGCUCCUCACUCCUACAACACCCAGUGCAAUACCUUCUGCACAAACCAAUGUGCCUACCACCCACAUACCUACCAGCUCCACAUUGGAUCAUCAAGGCAGUUCUAUAACAUCUUUGAAUACACGAGACACUCCUAUGUCUCCUGAUAAGGUUAAUUUUACACUCUCCUAUCUAUUUUGCGUUCCUUAGUCUACUAUCAUAGCUCUUACAGUUUUACAUCCACUUUGCUGCUUGUACAACAGCUACUGGUAUCAUCAACACCACCACCACAGGAGACACCUACUGACCACACUCCAACCAUGGUACCAUGCUAAUAUACAUACCCUCUUGCUAUAGCCAUCCUAACUGCACCUACCAGAAGUUUCAAUCCAGUAACAUCCUAAUUCUCUUGGUUUUUAUCAUGUUCUACUAUCAAAUAGCACGGCACCAGCAGUUCUGCAUCCCACAAGCGUCACCUCCGAGAUCCUGAAAACCUUAAUACCAACCUUCCUGCCAACAAAAGGUAUUUGUUGAUUCACCUCACUGUCUCUAAUCUACAGUCAUUAACCCACCACCCCAGCAAUACUAUCUUUUAUCAUAACCUGUAUGAACCAUUACAGCGCUCCAACCAACACACAUCCACAUCAGGUGUCUAGGAAACUCCACCUAUCCACCUCCGACAACGAAAGCUAGGUAAUACAUCAUUCCUCUUACACUAAUAUACAUACUGUCAAAAAUUCCCUGCUUUUCGAAACAAAAAACUCAUUCUAUGAUCAUAAAUAGAUUGUUCCUUUCUUAACAAGGAAACUAUACCAUUCUAACAUACACAACUGCUAUAUGUAGGUUUCCUACCCAUUCUGACAACUACCCAUCCACUCCAGCAUCAUCACUCAGCGUGUGCAAAUCACCGGCCUUUACCUUAUGUACAAGCAAACAACUUAUCCACACUAUCCAGUCAGCCAAGCCCUAAUAUACUGUACAACGAAUAUGUAUCUAGGCUUCAAACCACUUAACUACACCUGCAUAACUGUAUAUGAUCAUCACUGCCACACACAAAAAUAUGCACAUAAGCCUCUUACACUACAUAUUACCUUCUAUGAUGUAUAUUUUUACCUACAUGCUCCCCGGAUAAUGGACCAGAUAUUGUAUCCGUUCCCACCUUUAUAUUUGAUACUCAUCCACUUACUUCCACUUAAAUAUUAUGCUACAUCUACUUACUUUAGCAUGGAACAAAUCUACCACCCAGUAAGCUAGCCUUACCAUAUUGUAUUUCGUUCAACCUCAAUUGGGAUCCUUUACGAGACCGACUAUUAUAAAUCUUCACUAAUCAUCUGAUCUUCUUCAGCAAUAUUACAUUCACAUACAUUUUUCUCUCUGAUUAUGAUCAAAUCAAUACAAAUUGAACGGACCCCUUCCGGUUGCCUCAUUCUUUACUUUCAAUUGCAAAUUCCGACAUCCAUCUACCGGCUCGCCACUUGCAUCUCACUAAAUAUACAC